rnacentral:rRNA from 1 species
CGGCAGACGGGUGAGUAACGCGUGGGAACAUGCCUUUUGGUUCGGAACAACACAGGGAAACUUGUGCUAAUACCGGAUAAGCCCUUACGGGGAAAGAUUUAUCGCCGAAAGAUUGGCCCGCGUCUGAUUAGCUAGUUGGUGAGGUAACGGCUCACCAAGGCGACGAUCAGUAGCUGGUCUGAGAGGAUGAUCAGCCACAUUGGGACUGAGACACGGCCCAA